ACGUAGGGGGGGGGUGCUAUACAUGCAGUCGAGCGAACAGAUAAGGAGCUUGCUCCUUUGACGUUAGCGGCGGACGGGUGAGUAACACGUGGAUAACCUACCUAUAAGACUGGGAUAACUUCGGGAAACCGGAGCUAAUACCGGAUAAGAUUUUGAACCGCAUGGUUCAAUAGUGAAAGACGGCCUUGCUGUCACUUAUAGAUGGAUCCGCGCCGUAUUAGCUAGUUGGUAAGGUAACGGCUUACCAAGGCAACGAUACGUAGCCGACCUGAGAGGGUGAUCGGCCACACUGGAACUGAGACACGGUCCAGACUCCUACGGGAGGCAGCAGUAGGGAAUCUUCCGCAAUGGGCGAAAGCCUGACGGAGCAACGCCGCGUGAGUGAUGAAGGUCUUCGGAUCGUAAAACUCUGUUAUCAGGGAAGAACAUACGUGUAAGG
rnacentral:rRNA from 1 species